AAUCAACGCUGGCGGCGUGCCUAACACAUGCAAGUCGAACGCGAAAGCCCCGCAAGGGGUGAGUAGAGUGGCAAACGGGUGAGUAACACGUGGGUGACCUGCCUUCGAGUGGGGGAUAACGUCCCGAAAGGGACGCUAAUACCGCAUGACAUCCUGCUUUUGGAAAAGCGGAGAUCAAAGCUGGGGAUUCGCAAGAACCUGGCGCUUGAAGAGGGGCCCGCGCCUGAUUAGCUAGNGGUGGGGUAAUGGCCUACCAAGGCAACGAUCAGUAUCCGGCCUGAGAGGGGCGGACGGACACACUGGGACUGAGACACGGCCCAGACUCCUACGGGAGGCAGCAGUGGGGAAUUGUUCGCAAUGGGCGCAAGCCUGACGACGCAACGCCGCGUGGAGGACGAAGAUCUUCGGGUCGUAAACUCCUGU
rnacentral:rRNA from 1 species